GCCCCGGUAGCUCAGCCCGGUAGAGCGGCGGCCUCGUAAGCCGCAGGUCCCGGGUUCAAAUCCCGGCCGGGGCUCCA
rnacentral:tRNA from 1 species